rnacentral:rRNA from 1 species
UACGAAGGGGGCUAGCGUUGCUCGGAAUCACUGGGCGUAAAGGGUGCGUAGGCGGGUCUUUAAGUCAGGGGUGAAAUCCUGGAGCUCAACUCCAGAACUGCCUUUGAUACUGAAGAUCUCGAGUCCGGGAGAGGUGAGUGGAACUGCGAGUGUAGAGGUGAAAUUCGUAGAUAUUCGCAAGAACACCAGUGGCGAAGGCGGCUCACUGGCCCGAUACUGACGCUGAUGCACGAAAGCGUGGGGAGCAAACAGG